rnacentral:rRNA from 1 species
GACAGAGGUGCCGAGCGUUAGGCGGAAUCACUGGGCUUAAAGCGUGUGUAGGCGGGCGGGCAAGUACCUUGUGAAAUCCCACGGCUCAACCGUGGAACGGCUGGGUAUACUGCCUGUCUUGAGCCAACUAGGGGCGAGCGGAACAGACGGUGGAGCGGUGAAAUGCGUAGAUAUCGUCUGGAACGCCAAAGGUGAAAACAGCUCGCUGGGGUUGUGCUGACGCUGAGACACGAAAGCCAGGGGGGCGAACAGG